UACGGGGGGGGCAAGCGUUGUUCGGAAUUACUGGGCGUAAAGGGCGCGUAGGCGGCCUGCUAAGUCGGAUGUGAAAACUCUGGGCUCAACCCAGAGCCUGCAUUCGAUACUGACGGGCUAGAGUACUGGAGGGGAAAGCGGAAUUCCUGGUGUAGCGGUGAAAUGCGUAGAUAUCAGGAGGAACACCGGUGGCGAAGGCGGCUUUCUGGACAGUACCGACGUUCAGGCACGAAAGCGUGGGGAGCAAACAGG
rnacentral:rRNA from 1 species